ACCCCGUGCCGGUUUGGAAGAAGGCGCCGAGCACGAAUUCCGGGAGCGCCUUCUUGCUUGCUCGCAUGGCUUUUCCGAGCUCGGCCCUGAAGUUCCGCAGGAUCCUGGCUCACUUCCCUCAAGAGCUCAGCUUAGCCUUCGCUUAUGGCUCCGGGGUCUUCCAACAAGCGGGGUCUUCUACCGCCGCAACGGAGAACAAUAUGCUGGAUUUUGUAUUUGCAGUUGAUGAUUCUACAACAUGGCAUGCAAUGAACCUGUCAAAAAAUCGGAGUCAUUAUUCCUGCCUAAAAUAUUUUGGAACCAAGUCAAUAUGCAGCAUCCAAAACUAUGGAGCAGGGAUUUACUACAAUACAUUGGUGCCUUGUAAUGGGAGGGUUAUAAAAUAUGGUGUCAUAAGUACUGAUGCUUUAAUUGAAGAUUUGUUGCGAUGGAAGACACUUUAUGUAGCUGGACGUCUACAAAAGCCGGUGAAAAUUCUGGCUCAGAAUGAGAAUGUUAAGCUGCAAGAGGCCCUGACCAGUAAUUUGAAGAGUGCUGUCAUGGCAGCCUUUCUCAUGUUGCCUGAAAGUUUCUCUGAAGAGGAUCUUUAUAUGAAGAUCGCUGGAUUGUCAUAUUGUGGCGAUUUCAGAAUGCUCAUUGGAGAAGAUAAAUCAAAGGUUAUGAACAUAGUGAAACCAAACAUGAUACAUUUUCAGAAGCUCUAUAGCCAUAUUUUGCAAGAUAGCCCUCAAGUGAUAUACAAGCAUCAGCUGGGCAAGUUAGAGAUAGAUAAAAGUCCAGAAGGUCAGUUUGCACAACUGAUGGCUUUACCAAGCACCCUGCAGCAAAAAAUAACUUCUCUCAAGGAUUCUCCAGGGAAGAACAGAGAUGUGGAAGAAAUUUUAUUACAAGUCGCCCAUGACCCUGACUGUAGAUUUGUGGUACACCAAGGUAUUUCAAGAAUUGUGGGAUUGUCCACCUUAAUUCAGAGUGCUAAAACCACCCUAACAGCUGGGAUGAAAAAGUCAUUGAUCUACAGCAUGAAGAAGAUGUACAAGAUGUCAAAGGGAUGGUUCAGAAAAUCAUGACAUCUAUGAAGUUUGAAAAACCUGAUCUUCUCAUAUUAGUUUAUUUUUUUGCAUCACUUUGGAAGACAAAGCAUCUUUAGUUUGGAGAAACUGUUGUAUUAUUUAUUUUCAGACAACUUUUCAGAGAAGAGAACAGAUUAAGAUGGAAUCCGUUUUUUAUCUGCUUCUUUGAAGACUAUUUGGAAUGAUUUUUCCACAGUCGGCUUAUUUUACACGUGUUGUCCAUGUAAUAUCUUAGAAACAUCCCUGUCUCCAAGGCCUUAUAUUCUUGAGAUGUUUUUUAAAUCACAUAUGCUUUGAGUUAUGUCAUCCUUCUGUUUUUCCAUCAUUUACUUUACCAAGAACUUAUAAUGGUCUUGUCCUAUAACUUAAGAAACACUGAAUAGCAAUGUGUUAAAUUCUUUUGCUUGUGGCACACCUACUGUGUAGAGCUGCAUAUCAAGUAACUUUGAGAAAGGUCAGACAUGCGCUUUCCAGGCACAUUUGACAUCACAGCCAAAUAUUGGGAGAGAUGCCUUUAUCCCCAUCUAGAAGAAACAAUCCUGGGAACACUCGGCAUGGACAUGAAACCAGCUGUUCCAUGUCCAGAGCAAAUUUUGUGUGGAACAUUUUGCACAUUCCUACAGCUUACAUAUUCAGUUGAAAAUGCAAGGCAACCUAGUUGCUGUGCCAAGGGGAAUUUGCAAUUGUUUAUAAAUAGAUUUUUAUUUUAGAAGUGUGAACAGAUACAUAUAUAAAAUCACAUUUGUAUAUUUUUAUAUCCAAGCAUACUUGGAGUUCACAUACCUAUUUUCAUGGCAUAGGCAGCCAAUGAAGGGCUGCAAGCAAAUACACAUAUCCAGUCAUAAAGACAGAAAGGUUUCCCUAAGCUGCCACUUUGCAAUAGAUUAUUGUCAUGAAAAAUAUGGCUUAAAAGUAACUUGAUUAGGUCUGUGAACCUGGAGACUGACCUCUACAUCUUAGUAAAGAGGUAGUUAUAAGCACAGCAGAGAG